UCUCUGUAGCUCAGUUGGUUAGAGCUUGACAACUGGACUCUGUAGCUCAGUUGGUUAGAGCUUGACAACUGUCUCUCUGUAGUUCAGUUGGUUAGAGCUCGACAACUGUCUCUCUGUAGUUCAGUUGGUUAGAGCUUGACAACUGGACUCUGUAGCUCAGUUGGUUAGAGCUUGACAACUGGACUCUGUAGUUCAGUUGGUUAGAGCUUGACAACUGGACUCUGUAGUUCAGUUGGUUAGAGCUUGACAACUGGACUCUGUAGUUCAGUUGGUUAGAGCGCUGCACUGGAAUCGCAGGGUCACAGGUUUGAUUCCUGUCAGAGGGUUUAUAGUUGUAUUUUUCACAACUGCUCCUGGUUAGGUUUAAUAAAUGUAUAAAAUUUCCACUCAAAAUUUUCAUCUACAAAUUCCUUCAACAACAGACCUUACCGUUUAUUGACGUUUGAUCCAAUGGCCUCGUUUUCGUGUCAGGUAUUUACUUGUGUUUCGUGCACAAUAGGGUUAAGAACUUACUUGUUAUUGGGCUUAAGAUCAACCAGGAAUCAAAUCGUGAAGGAAACAUGGGAGUAUAACCUUC
rnacentral:lncRNA from 1 species